rnacentral:rRNA from 1 species
GACGAACGCUGGCGGCGUGCCUAAUACAUGCAAGUUGAGCGAUGAAGAUUGGUGCUUGCGCCAAUUUGAAGAGCAGCGAAAGGGUGAGUAACGCGUGGGGAAUCUGCCUGUGAGCGGGGGACAACAUUUGGAAACGAAUGCUAAUACCGCAUAACAACUUUAAACAUAAGUUUUAAGUUUGAAAGAUGCAAUUGCAUCACUCAAAGAUGAUCCCGCGUUGUAUUAGCUAGUUGGUGUGGUAAAGGCUCACCAAGGCGAUGAUACAUAGCCGACCUGAGAGGGUGGUCGGCCACAUUGGGACUGAGACACGGCCCAAACGCCUACGGGAGGCAGCAGUAGGGAAUCUUCGGCAAUGGACGAGAGUCUGACCGAGCAACGCCGCGUGAGUGAAGAAGGUUUUCGGAUCGUAAAACUCUGUUGGUAGAGAAGAACGUUGGUGAGAGUGGAAAGCUCAUCAAGUGACGGGAACUACCCAGAAAGGGACGGCUAACUACGUG